rnacentral:rRNA from 1 species
GACGAACGCUGGCGGCGUGCCUAACACAUGCAAGUCGAACGUGAAGCCGGUGCUUGCACCGGUGGAAAGUGGCGAACGGGUGAGUAACACGUGAGAAACCUGCCCCGGAGACUGGGACAACCAUUGGAAACGAUGGCUAAUACCGGAUGUCCUCAGAUGGUCGCAUGACCGACUGAGGAAAUGCUCUGGCGCUCUGGGAGGGUCUCGCGGCCUAUCAGUUAGUUGGUGGGGUAACGGCCUACCAAGACAUCGACGGGUAGCUGGUCUGAGAGGACGAUCAGCCACACUGGGACUGAGACACGGCCCAG